rfam:Prevotella sp. CAG:520 genomic scaffold, scf85
UUGCUUUUACGAAAGUCAUGGAGUAAAGCUUGCCGUGAGAAGUCAGCAGACGCCAUAGUAGUGGAAUAUUCGAUAACGUUCCACGAAGGGC